AAUGAGGACUAAACCCGGUAGACGAAUGAACCGUGGUAUUUAGGAUGCGUUCCACAUCAGAAAUGCGGGCAUCCCAGUUGCGCUGGUCCGUGCGGGCGUACGCGCGUAUUGCCGUAUUUAUAGAACGAUUCGUUCGUUCUACCGGGAACCGGCUGAAUUCUUUGGAGAUGAACGUCGAACCAUUAUCGCUCAACAGGAUUUCCGGACUUCCAUGGCGGUUGAACCAUUGUUCGCGAAGGGUCGCACAAAGUGAGGCGCUGCAAAUUUUGCGAACGGGGGUCAACAUUACGUACUUGCUGAAGACGUCGAGGACGACUAGCAAGUGUUGAUUGCCUCGUUUGCUUCGAGGAAGUGGGCCUAUGUAGUCCACCGAAAUCAUCUGCCACGGUGCACCGGUUGUCCCACAUUGGCGAAUAUAUUCGCGAACUUCUGGUCCCAUACGAGGCCAAAAAUAGCGUUUUUGAACCUCGUGAAUCGUUUUAUCAUAACCCACAUGAAGCAAUUCAUCGUGGGUAUGUUGCACGAUUUCUUCUCGACACUCGGGAGUUGGGACCAAUUUCCAAUUAAACCGAGAGUCGAAUGGUACACUUUUCGAGGCCACGUAUUUGAAAAGUUU